ensembl:lncRNA
UGGCAAAAGAGACACUGAAGAUGUGGGUGAAGAUCUUGAGGUAGGGAUGGGAUCCAGGUGAGUCCAAUUGAAUCCCACUCGAGCCUUUAAAGGCAGAGAAGUGGUUCCACCUGAGGUCAGAGAGGGUCAGCUACAGAGGAGGCAGGCGAGGCGUCUGAGCUGCUCUCGGGGAAUGUGAGGCCUCUGGGGGCUCACCGCCUGCCAAGAGGCAGGCACCUCCAUCCUAACAGCACGUGGAACCAGGUUCACCCACCGGCGGAGCGACCCCAGCACCUCCAGUUGCAGCAUGUGGGUCUAGCUCCCUGACUGGUGAUCAGUCCUGAGCUCCCUGCAUUGGCAGCGUGGCGUCUUAACCACUGGACCACCAGAAGGGAGUCGCUGUAGCUGUUGACAUUUAAGAUCUGCACACCUGCUAAUCUGCCUUCCACUUCGGGAUUCUGUCCCACAGAAACGAAAGCACCUGCGCCUUAAGAAAAAAGUGGAGAGAUCAACGUCCGUGCAGUCAUGCCAUGAACUAAUUAUUACACAGCACAGAAAAGGCACAAACCGCCGCCAGCACAGAGACAACAGGGAUGAAGCUCACAAACAGGAUGAUGAAAGAAAGAAGCAAGUCACAGAGGAACACAUAAAGUACUCUUUGAUUUACAUAAAAUUCAGAAA